UGAGCAACCUGCCCUUGACUCUGGAAUAACAGUUGGAAACAGCUGCUAAUACCGGAUAUGACUCUGUGCGACGUCACACGGAGUGGAAAGCCCUGGCGGUCAAGGAUGGGCUCGCGGCCUAUCAGCUUGUUGGUGUGGGUAAUGGCCCACCAAGGCGACGACGGGUAGCCGGCCUGAGAGGGUGACCGGCCACACUGGGACUGAGACACGGCCCAGACUCGUUAGGAGG
rnacentral:rRNA from 1 species